GUGGGGAAUCUUAGACAAUGGGGGCAACCCUGAUCUAGCCAUGCCGCGUGAGUGAUGAAGGCCUUAGGGUCGUAAAGCUCUUUCGCUGGGGAAGAUAAUGACGGUACCCAGUAAAGAAACCCCGGCUAACUCCGUGCCAGCAGCCGCGGUAAUACGGAGGGGGUUAGCGUUGUUCGGAAUUACUGGGCGUAAAGCGCGCGUAGGCGGAUUGGAAAGUUGGGGGUGAAAUCCCGGGGCUCAACCCUGGAAUGGCCUUCAAAACUCCCAGUCUUGAGGUCGAGAGAGGUGAGUGGAAUUCCGAGUGUAGAGGUGAAAUUCGUAGAUAUUAGGAAGAACACCAGUGGCGAAGGCGGCUCACUGGUCCGGUACUGACGCUGAGGUGCGAAAGCGUGGGGAGCAAACAGGAUUAGAUACCCCUGUAGUCC
rnacentral:rRNA from 1 species